GGAAAGAAAGGGGGUUAGAUCCAGUCAGGGAUGGAGGCAAAGGGCUGUUCUCUCAGGGAAACUUACAACCUCUUCCCCCUCAGAGAAUUUUCCUGACACUCUCAACUGUGCAGAAGUAAAAAUAUUUCCCCAGAAGAAGUGUGAGGAUGCCUACCCAGGGCAGAUCACAGAUGGCAUGGUCUGUGCGGGCAGCAGCAAAGGGGCUGACACGUGCCAGGGCGAUUCUGGAGGCCCCCUGGUGUGUGAUGGUGCACUCCAGGGCAUCACAUCCUGGGGCUCAGACCCCUGUGGGAGGUCCGACAAACCUGGUGUCUAUACCAACAUCUGCCGCUACCUGGACUGGAUCAAGAAGAUCAUAGGCAGCAAGGGCUGAUUCUAGGAUAAGCACUAGAUCUCCCUUAAUAAACUCACAACUCUCUGGUU
rnacentral:sRNA from 1 species